rnacentral:rRNA from 1 species
UAAGCUACUAAGAGCAUACGGCGGAUGCCUUGGCACCAAAGGCCGAAGAAGGACGUGGUUGGCUGCGAUAAGCCGCGAGAAGCCGUCAGCAGGCGUUAUAUUCGCGGAUUUCCGAAUAGGGUAACCUGGUCGAGGUCAUUCUCGAUCACCCUCGUGUUGAAUUCAUAGAUGCGAGGGAGGGCACUGGGGGAACUGAAACAUCUCAGUACCCCGAGGAAAGAAAACCAUUCCCCUAGUAGUGGCGAGCGAACGGGGAAAAGCCUAAACUUGUGCACCGUAAGGUGUGCGAGGGUUGUAGGGCUCGGCAGGCGAAAGCCGGCAAGUUACCAAUCUGAUAUGUAGCGGAAGGAGUCAGGAAAGCUCCGCCAAAGCGGGUGAUAGCCCCGUACGCGAAAUAGAUCAGACUUGCGUCGAGUUCCUGAGUACCACGGGGCACGCUAAUCCUGUGGGAACCUGGGGAGUCCACUCUCUAAGGCUAAAUACCUUUGGUGACCGAUAGUGAACUAGUACCGUGAGGGAAAGGUGAAAAGUACCCCUGCAAGGGGAGUGAAAUAGAACCUGAAACCGUAUGCUUACAAGCAGUGGAAGGGCUAUGGCGCAGUUUACUGCGCAAUGCCUGACCGCGUGCCUCUUGAAGAAUGAGCGAGCGAGUUACUUCUCUGUGGCAAGGAUAAGGGAGUGACACCCGGAUCCGUAGCGAAAGCGAGUCCGAACAGGGCGCCAAGUCGCAGGGAGUAGACCCGAAACCCGGUGAGCUACUUAUGGGCAGGUUGAAGCGACGGUAACACGUCGUGGAGGACCGAACUCAUUUGUGUUGCAAAACGAUGGGAUGACCUGUGAGUAGUUGGUGAAAUGCCUAACGAACCGGGAGAUAGCUGGUUCUCCUCGAAAUAACUCUAGGGUUAGCCUCGCGUGUUUAGUGGCGGAGGUAGAGCACUGGAUUGGCUAGGGGGCAUCAUGCUUACCAACCCAAACCAAACUCCGAAUGCCGCCACUCCAAACGCGGGAGUCGGACUACGUGGGAUGAGCUUCGUAGUCGAAAGGGAAACAGCCCAGAUCGUCGAAUAAGGUCCUCAAGUCUCGGCUAAGUGGGAAACGAUGUGAGAUUGUUCUGACAGCCAGGAGGUUGGCUUAGAAGCAGCCACCCUUUAAAGAGUGCGUAAUAGCUCACUGGUCAAACGAUCUCGCGCGGAAAAUGUAACGGGGCUCAAGCCGAGCACCGAUUUCACGAACUUGCCGCAAGGCGAGUGGUAGAGGAGCGUUCCGAAAGCAGAGAAGCCCGACGGCGACGACGGGUGGAGCGAUCGGAAGUGAGAAUGCUCGCAUAAGUAGCGAAAUUGACGCGAGAAACGUCAACACCGGAAGCCUGAGGGUUCAGACGCAAGGGUAAUCCGCGUCUGGUUAGUCGGGCCUAAGCCGAGGGCGAGAGCCGUAGGCGAUGGACAUCCGGUUAAUAUUCCGGAACCACCUGAGUGGAGCGAUGGGGUGACGCAGUAGGAUAGCGCAGCCUGCCUAUGGACAUGGUAGGUGCUAAGCUGUUAGGGAGUUGAGAGCCGUUGGCAAAUCCGCGGUUUGAUCCUGAGCAGUGGGCGGGGCCGCAAGGCUUGUAGUGAGUGAUUCCAAACUGCCGAGAAAAGCCUCUAAGCGAUAAAGACCAUUUCGGGUGCCCGUACCGCAAACCGACACAGGUAGGCGGCAUGAGAAAUGCAAGGUGAUCGGGAUAACCUCCGUUAAGGAACUCGGCAAAAUUCAUCCGUAACUUCGGGAGAAGGAUGGCUUGCUGGCGUCAGUGAAUAACAAAGCGCUGGCGAGUCGCAGCGAAACGGCUCGACUGACUGUUUAACAAAAACACAGGUCUCUGCAAACGCGCAAGCGGAUGUAUAGGGGCUGACUCCUGCCCAGUGCCGGAAGGUUAAAGGGAGAGGUUCGGCGCAAGCCAAAGCUUUGAACUGAAGCCCCGGUGAACGGCGGCCGUAACUAUAACGGUCCUAAGGUAGCGAAAUUCCUUGUCGGGUAAGUU